UGUCUCUUGUAAUUUAUCCUCUAGCAAAUUUAAACUUGUUGCAUAAGCUGAAUGUAUUGAAUCUACUCGUAAGAUCAUUUUACAUUUGCAUGUUAGUUCAUAUGGAUACAUGUGAUAAUGAAUGAUAGUAUUAACGAAUUACUGUUGCCUGAUAUGAUUACCAGUGAUCAAAAUCACUUGAUGCCUUUAUGUGAAUUUAUUCGUGCUUAAAGUGUAAUUCUUCUUCUCGACUAGUUGACUCUUUGUAACUUAUUAGUUUGACAGAAACUUACCCUUCUUGAGAGUUUUGGUUUGUUCCACUUCGCGAGUAUUGCUCUGAUUAUUGUUAUUUAGCCAAUUAAUUGUGCAGACAUAGUCACAUGUUGCAAGCUCUAUUUUUUCUUCACUAGUUAGGAAUGCCGUAGAGAUGCAAGUUUUUAACCAAGUCAGCAAUAAAAGUGCAAUGUCCUUGCUACAGGGUUGAGGGUUAGUUUAUGUCCAAACCACAAGUCAAUCUUUGCUAAUGCGGGCAUUUAAUCAGGCUAUCAGAUCGACAAGGAACUCGAUCAUUUGAAGAACGCGUUUGAGGUAAUACUAUCUUCCUAGUGCUUUUAGCUGUAGAAUUAGUGAUACAUCCCUUGUCAAAUAUUUCUCAUGUUUUUUAAGUAUGAAUGUUUGAAUUCUGUUUGGAAAUAGACAAGGAAAAGGGUGAUGGUAAAUUCGUUCAUAAUUUGAGCUUUGAGCAGGUAAAGCCUUAGUUCUUUUCUAGACUUUAUAUUAUCAAUUUUGCUAGCUUAGUGGAGUAUUUAUCUUGAACAUAGUAUCAAAUUUUGUUUUGAUAUGUUAAAUAAUAUAUUGCAUUUCUAUUGCAUUAACAGGAACAUAUGAAGUUAUUGUGGACAUGAAGAUGUGAUGUUUGUCAAAAGGAGCUCAAACGAAAAAAAAAUGCUAGAUGAAUGUUAGAUCUAGAAUUUUAUAUUUGUAUACAUUGAUUUUCAUUUUACAUUGUAUAUAUUGAUUAUUUUAAAAUUAUUAUGCAAAUUUUUUAUGUAACAGUCCUUUUAUAUUUGAGGCA